CCUACGGGUGGCAGCAGUGAGGAAUAUUGGUCAAUGGGCGGGAGCCUGAACCAGCCAAGUCGCGUGAGGGAAGACGGUCCUAUGGAUUGUAAACCUCUUUAGGCGGGGAGCAAUGCCGGGCACGUGUGCCCGUAGGGAGAGUACCCGCAGAAUAAGCAUCGGCUAACUCCGUGCCGGCAGCCGCGGUAAUACGUAGGGAGCAAGCGUUGUCCGGAUUUACGGGGCGUAAAGGGCGCGUAGGUGGGUGCUUAAGUCAGUGGUGAAAACUUCGGGCUCAACCUGGAGACUGCACUUGAAACUGGGUGUCUUGAGGACAGGAGAGGAAAGUGGAAUUCCUAGUGUAGCGGUGAAAUGCGUAGAUAUUAGGAGGAACACCAGUGGCGAAGGCGACUUUCUGAACUGUACCUGACGCUGAGGCGCGAAAGCGUGGGUAGCGAACGGGAUUAGAUACCCCUGUAGUC
rnacentral:rRNA from 1 species